CAAUGUGGGGGAGGCCAUCAGACAGCUGUGCUGACAAGUUCUGGUUAAACUGUUGUACCCAGAACCACAGAGUGACCUUGGGCAAAGCAAGAGCCUGACACAAUGAAAACACUUUUUCUUUUUCCAGCUGUCUGCCUUGGGCUCUUGGAUCUUGGUUUCCUUUUACAGUCCGGACUUCUGCGCCCCUCUGGAAGCAGUGUGAAUUUUCUACACCAGAGCCUGAGUCCAAGCAGAGUUUCUGCAGUAAACCUGUACCCUGGGAGCAUUUAAAAUGAUGUGUGCUCUGCAGGAUUUUCCGGUCUCCCAGGGGCCAGCUGCUUCAGCGUGAGACUCCAGAAGUCAUGGCAAGAGCUGAGAUUUGCUGUUUGCAAGUUCAGUCAUGUCUGACGGGAGCUGACCUGCUGGAGGAAGUUCCUUCCCGUUAGCGUCUGAGGGCGCCUUGGACACUGAAGACUUAAAAUUCAGCAUGAAAUGAGGCUGAGCUUGUUAAACACUGGAAAAUUGUUUCUGACAAGUGUUUGUGACAAUUUGUAAACAAACAAGAGAUCAUAGGGAUUAAGGGCCAUGUCUGUGUUUUUAAAGUAAAUGUAAAUAUCAGACUUGGAGAGAAUCAAAAUUCUGUUGCAAUCUGUUCUUCAGGCUGUUUGUGUCUACCAUUUCAUGAAGGCUUUCCCAUUUGGGGUAAUCAUCUUCUAUGCCUUCGUCCAGAGGCUUUUUAGGUUGUCAUUAUAUCUGUCCUCAGCACUGGCCAAGACUGAGAAAAUACAAAGACCAGAGAGGAGCAGAGGUUGGUGACCAAUAUAAAAGGAAAUCAUGUUGAGGAUGAGCGUGCUUAAACCCAUCACCAGAACUGAAAGUCCAUGAGAUCAGCAACAUUAAGAACAGAGAAACCAUGAACAGGAGUCAUCCAUUUGGACUCUCUCACUGUAAUAAGGAUGUUGAUAGAAAGAAAAUAAAUAAAUAAAUAA